rnacentral:lncRNA from 1 species
GAAAGAUAAGUAUUCAAACGGGAAAUCACAAAACUUGGAAUUUAGUACAACACAUCAAAUGCUGAAUCAAUCGUUUUACAAAGGUAAAAUACUGUGAAGACAAGUGAAAUCAAUAAUGUUGUACAGAACAACAACCAUGCUCAAUGCCAGAAUACUUGAGAUAAUGGUCGAUAUAAUGCCAAAUGGCACUCUAUCAUUGGACUGUUUAAAAAGCAAUCCUCUUUUCCAUCAAAUCACUUCCCGCCACGCAAGCUUCUAGCAAAGUAGCAUUAUCUACAGAACAAUCGGGAUAACAUAGUACAAUCCAAAACUAAAAACCCUUUAAAAGUAAAAUACAAUCUCAAUAAUAACAAACAAACUACAAUUGUACAAG